rnacentral:rRNA from 1 species
AUGGCAAACUCCGCCGCCCUGCUCCACUCACUCCUCUCCACCGCCUGGACGCCGCGCCGCCGCCUCGACCGAGCCUCGGCCACGCGGCUCGCCCCGUCCCCCGGCCCGCCCUGCCGCUCCCGCCGGCCGACGCGCUCCGUGCGCUCGAUGGCGUCGUCGACGACCGCGGCCCGGGCCGACGCGGCGGCGCCGGGGCUGAAGGAGGGCAUCGCGGGGCUCUACGACGAGUCGUCCGGCCUGUGGGAGAGCAUCUGGGGCGAGCACAUGCACCACGGCUUCUACGACUCCGGCGAGGCCGCCUCCAUGUCCGACCACCGCCGCGCCCAGAUCCGCAUGAUCGAGGAGGCCCUCGCCUUCGCCGCCGUCCCCGACGAUCCGACAAACAAACCGAAAACGAUUGUUGAUGUCGGAUGCGGAAUCGGUGGUAGCUCAAGAUACCUGGCGAACAAAUAUGGAGCACAAUGCUCUGGGAUCACAUUGAGCCCAGUGCAAGCCGAGAGAGGAAAUGCCCUCGCAGCAGCACAGGGGUUGUCGGACAAGGCUUCUUUCCAAGUUGCUGAUGCUCUGGAGCAACCAUUUCCUGAUGGGCAGUUUGAUCUUGUCUGGUCUAUGGAGAGUGGUGAGCACAUGCCGAACAAACAGAAGUUUGUAAGCGAGCUGGCACGCGUCGCAGCUCCAGGAGCAACUAUCAUCAUCGUGACCUGGUGCCAUAGGAACCUCGCGCCAUCGGAGGACUCACUGAAACCUGACGAGCUGAAUCUUUUGAAAAAGAUUUGUGAUGCAUAUUACCUCCCGGAUUGGUGCUCUCCCUCGGAUUAUGUCAAGAUUGCCGAGUCAUUGUCUCUUGAGGAUAUCAAAACGGCCGACUGGUCUGAAAACGUGGCCCCGUUCUGGCCUGCUGUCAUCCAAUCAGCACUGACAUGGAAAGGCCUCACUUCUCUACUAAGGAGUGGAUGGAAGACGAUAAAGGGAGCACUGGUGAUGCCUCUCAUGAUCCAAGGCUACAAGAAAGGCCUCAUUAAGUUCAGCAUCAUCACCUGCCACAAACCCCAAGCAGCCAUAGAAGGAGAACCUGAGGCCGCAUCGCCCAGAGUGUAG